rnacentral:rRNA from 1 species
AACGAACGCUGGCGGCAUGCCUAACACAUGCAAGUCGAACGAGACCUUCGGGUCUAGUGGCGCACGGGUGCGUAACGCGUGGGAACCUGCCCUUAGAUUCGGAAUAACUCCCCGAAAGGGGUGCUAAUACCGGAUAAUGUCUUCGGACCAAAGAUUUAUCGCCUUUGGAUGGGCCCGCGUUGGAUUAGCUAGUUGGUAGUGUAAAAGCCUACCAAGGCGACGAUCCAUAGCUGGUCUGAGAGGAUGAUCAGCCACACUGGGACUGAGACACGGCCCAGACUCCUACGGGAGGCAGCAGUGGGGAAUAUUGGACAAUGGGCGAAAGCCUGAUCCAGCAAUGCUGCGUGAGUGAUGAAGGCCUUAGGGUUGUAAAGCUCUUUUACCCGGGAUGAUAAUGACAGUACCGGGAGAAUAAGCUCCGGCUAACUCCGUG